GACGAACGCUGGCGGCGUGCUUAACACAUGCAAGUCGAGCGAUGAAAUCCCUUCGGGGAUGGAUUAGCGGCGGACGGGUGAGUAACAUGUGGGCAACCUGCCUUAAAGUGGGGGAUAGCCUUCCGAAAGGGAGAUUAAUACCGCAUAAUAUUAGUUUUUCACAUGAAUUACUAAUUAAAGGAGUAAUCCGCUUUGAGAUGGGCCCGCGGCCCAUUAGCCUGUUGGUGGGGUAAUGGCCUACCAAAGCAACGAUGGGUAGCUGGUCUGAGAGGACGAUCAGCCACACUGGGACUGAGACACGGCCCAGACUCCUACGGGAGGCAGCAGUGGGGAAUCUUGCGCAAUGCGCGAAAGCGUGACGCAGCAACACCGCGUGAGGGAAGACGGCCUUAGGGUUGUAAACCUCUUUCAGUUGGGACGAAGGUUCGACGGUGAAUAGCCGGCCGGACUGAUGGUACCUUCAGAAGAAGCUCCGGCUAACUACGUGCCAGCAGCCGCCGUAACAC
rnacentral:rRNA from 1 species